ACGCACGCUGGCGGCCUGCCUCACCCAUGCCAGUCGCACGAGACCUUCGGGUCUAGUGGCGCCCGGGUGCGUAACGCGUGGGAACCUGCCCUUAGGUUCGGAAUAACUCCCCGAAAGGGGUGCUAAUACCGGAUAAUGUCUUCGGACCAAAGAUUUAUCGCCUUUGGAUGGGCCCGCGUUGGAUUAGCUAGUUGGUAGGGUAAAAGCCUACCAAGGCGACGAUCCAUAGCUGGUCUGAGAGGAUGAUCAGCCACACUGGGACUGAGACACGGCCCAGACUCCUACGGGAGGCAGCAGUGGGGAAUAUUGGACAAUGGGCGAAAGCCUGAUCCAGCAAUGCCGCGUGAGUGAUGAAGGCCUUAGGGUUGUAAAGCUCUUUUACCCGGGAUGAUAAUGACAGUACCGGGAGAAUAAGCUCCGGCUAACUCCGUG
rnacentral:rRNA from 1 species